AGCGGCGGACGGGUGAGUAACGCGUGGGUAACCUACCUUAUACAGGGGGAUAACAUAUUGAAAAGUAUGCUAAUACCGCAUAAGCGCACAGGAUCGCAUGAUCCAGUGUGAAAAGCCGAGACGGUAUAAGAUGGACCCGCGUCUGAUUAGCUAGUAGGUGAGGUAAUGGCUCACCUAGGCGACGAUCAGUAGCCGACCUGAGAGGGUGAACGGCCACAUUGGGACUGAGACACGGCCCAAACUCCUACGGGAGGCAGCAGUGGGGAAUAUUGCACAAUGGGGGAAACCCUGAUGCAGCGACGCCGCGUGAAGGAUGAAGGUUUUCGGAUCGUAAACUUCUAUCAGCAGGGACGAUAAUGACGGUACCUGACUAAGAAGCCCCGGCUAACUACGUGCCAGCAGCCGCGGUAAUACGUAGGGGGCAAGCGUUAUCCGGAAUUACUGGGUGUAAAGGGUGCGUAGGCGGUAAUGUAAGUCAGGUGUGAAAGCCCGAAGCUCAACUUCGGGAUUGCACUUGAAACUACAUAACUAGAGUACAGGAGAGGUGAGUGGAAUUCCUAGUGUAGCGGUGAAAUGCGUAGAUAUUAGGAGGAACACCAGUGGCGAAGGCGACUCACUGGACUGUAACUGACGCUGAGGCACGAAAGCGUGGGGAGCGAACAGGAUUAGAUACCCUGGUAGUCCACGCUGUAAACGAUGAAUGCUAGGUGU
rnacentral:rRNA from 1 species